GCCAGGCAUGUUGGCUCAUGCCUGUCAUCCUAGCACUUUGGGAGGCUGAGAUGGGAGGAUUGCUUGAGCCCAGGAGUUUGAGACAAGCCUGGGCAACAUAGCAAGACUCCAUCUCUA
rnacentral:SRP_RNA from 1 species